rnacentral:rRNA from 1 species
UACGUAGGGGGCAAGCGUUGUCCGGAAUUAUUGGGCGUAAAGCGCGCGCAGGCGGUCACUUAAGUUGGGUGUUUAAUCCCGGGGCUCAACCCCGGUUCGCAUCCGAAACUGGGUGACUUGAGUGUAGGAGAGGAAAGUGGAAUUCCACGUGUAGCGGUGAAAUGCGUAGAGAUGUGGAGGAACACCAGUGGCGAAGGCGACUUUCUGGCCUAUAACUGACGCUGAGGCGCGAAAGCGUGGGGAGCAAACAGG